UACGUAGGGGGCAAGCGUUGUCCGGAUUCAUUGGGCGUAAAGAGCGUGUAGGCGGCCAGGUAGGUCGGUUGUGAAAACUGGAGGCUCAACCUUCAGAGGUCGACCGAAACCAUCUGGCUAGAGUCCGGGAGAGGAGAGUGGAAUUCCUGGUGUAGCGGUGAAAUGCGCAGAUAUCAGGAAGGAACACCCGUGGCGAAAGCGGCUCUCUGGAACGGUACUGGACGCUGAAGACGCGAAAGCGUGGGGAGCGAACAGG
rnacentral:rRNA from 1 species